rnacentral:rRNA from 1 species
GACUCUCGGCAACGGAUAUCUUGGCUCUUGCAUCGAUGAAGAACGUAGCGAAAUGCGAUACUUGGUGUGAAUUGCAGAAUCCCGUGAACCAUUGAGUUUUUGAACGCAAGUUGCGCCCUAGGCCCUAUGGUCGAGGGCACGCCUGCCUGGGCGUCA